rnacentral:rRNA from 1 species
AGUGGCGCACGGGUGCGUAACGCGUAUAGAACCUACCCUUUACUGGGGGAUAGCCCGGAGAAAUUCGGAUUAAUACCCCAUAGUAAUAAGAAGUGGCAUCACUUUCUAUUUAAAGGAUUCCGGUAGAGGAUGGCUAUGCGUCUUAUUAGCUAGUAGGUGAGGUAACGGCUCACCUAGGCUACGAUAAGUAGGGGCCCUGAGAGGGGGAUCCCCCACACUGGUACUGAGACACGGACCAGACUCCUACGGGAGGCAGCAGUGAGGAAUAUUGGACAAUGGUCGAGAGACUGAUCCAGCCAUGCCGCGUGCAGGAAGACGGCCUUAUGGGUUGUAAACUGCUUUUGUACGGGAAGAAUAAUACCCACGUGUGGGUAGAUGACGGUACCGUACGAAUAAGGACCGGCUAACUCCGUGCCAGCAGCCGCGGUAAUACGGAGGGUCCGAGCGU